CACGUAGGGCGCAAGCGUUGUCCGGAAUUAUUGGGCGUAAAGAGCUCGUAGGCGGUCUGUUGCGUCCGCUGUGAAAACCCGGGGCUUAACCCUGGGCUGGCAGUGGAUACGGACAGACUAGAGGUAGGUAGGGGAGAAUGGAAUUCCCGGUGUAGCGGUGAAAUGCGCAGAUAUCAGGAAGAACACCUAUGGCGAAGGCAGCUCUCUGGGACGGUACUGACGCUGAGACGCGAAAGCGUGGGGAGCGAACAGG
rnacentral:rRNA from 1 species